rnacentral:lncRNA from 1 species
GCCUCUGCAACUCCAACUUGUCUGGGUUCUUUUUUCUGCACCCCUUUUAUGUGGGAGAAAAAGUCGAUCCCUUGUUGGUUUUGGUCGACUUUUGUUAAAUGUCGAUCCCCUGUUGAAUUUCCUCGACUUUUGCUAAAUGUCGAUCCCUUGUUGAGUUUGGUCGACUUUUGUCAAAAAGUCGAUUCCUGGUGCUUUUGGUCAAAAGUCGAUCCCUUGUGUAAAAAAUCGACUUUGCCAUUUUGUCCUUUUGUGCUGUCCUAGGGUCUAUAAAUAGGACCCCUAGGUUCUCCUUUUCCUUCAUCCAUCCAUGGCUCUUCUUGUGAGUCUCUUUGCUGAUUUUAUUCAGGGGGAGAUUGAGGAGCUGGAUCGGAUUUUGAACAUUCUGGAUCCUCGGUCGUCGACCUUGGAUCUUCCUUCUCUGCGCCAACUUAUUGUUGAGCGGCAGAGUGUUGCUGUUGCUGCUCGGGAGUCCAUUUUUGAAGAAUGGUCUGGUGGCGAUCUUCCGCCUGCCUCUUCUUCUGCUAUUCCUCCCCGUGGCCGACGUCGGAGGCGUCCCCGCCGCGGUGCUUCCCCGCUGGAUCAGGUCCCUCGCCGCUUGCGUCGCCGUAUUAAUUUUAAUUAGGAGUCUGUAAAAUUUUUCAUUCAUCAUUUUUGCAAUUUUGAAUAAAUAUAUUUUUACCUUUUCCUUUAUUUGACUUACACCUUUACUUUGAAGUACGUUAGUGUAACCGAAAUUUUUUCUUGGUCAAUACCAUAUUCUUUUUUCUAAAGGUGUCGGAUUUUUGACAAGUCGACCUCAUUUCUCCCUGGAAAUGCCGAUGUUGCCUAAAAAUGUCGAUCUCACCCUUUUUUGAGGAAGUCGAUGACUGCUGAUCCUUUUCUAAAGGUGUCGGAUUUUUGACAAGUCGAUCUCAUUUCUCCCUGGAAAUGUCGAUGUUGCCUAAAAAAAAAAAUGUCGAUCUCACCUUUUUCUGAGGAAGUCGAUGACUGCUGAUCCUUUUCUAAAGGUGUCGAAUUUUUGACAAGUCGAUCUCAUUUCUCCCUGGAAAUGUCGAUGUUGCCUGAAAAUGUCGAUCCCACCUUUUUCUGAGGAUGUCGAUGACUACUGAUCCUUUUCUAAAGGUGUCGAAUUUUUUGACAAGUCGAUCUCAUUUCUCCCUGGAAAUGUCGAUGUUGCCUAAAAAUGUCGAUCCCACCUUUUUCUGAGGAUGUCGAUCAGAGUAGUGUGGAAUGUCGAUCCUGACCUUUUCUUUUGAAGGUUUCGAAUUCCUUGCCAAAUGUCGACGCCUAUCCCCUUUUCCUGGGAAUGUCGAACAUGCUUUCCUGCGGAAUGUCGAUCCUGGCCUUCUCUUUUGAAGGCAUCGAAUUCCUUGGUAAAUGUCGACGCCUAUUCCCCUUUUCCUGGGAAUGUCGAACAUG